rnacentral:rRNA from 1 species
UAGGGAAUAUUGCAAAUGGGCGAAAGCCUGAUGUAGCAACGCCGCGUGUGCGAUGAAGGUCUUCGGAUUGUAAAGCACUUUUUGGAGGGAUGAGGAAGGACAGUACCUCCAGAAUAAGCCUCGGCUAACUACGUGCCAGCAGCCGCGGUAACACGUAGGAGGCAAGCGUUAUUCGGAUUUACUGGGCGUAAAGCGCGUGCAGGCGGUUUGGAAAGUUGGAUGUGAAAGCUCCUGGCUUAACUGGGAGAGGUCGUUCAAUACUGCCAGGCUUGAGAGUGGUAGAGGGAAGCGGAAUUCCGGGUGUAGUGGUGAAAUGCGUAGAUAUCCGGAGGAACACCAGUGGCGAAAGCGGCUUCCUGGCCCAUUUCUGACGCUCAGACGCGAAAGCUAGGGUAGCAAACGG